UACGUAGGCAGCGAGCGUUGUUCGGAGUUACUGGGCGUAAAGCGUGCGUAGGCGGUUGUCUAAGUUUGGUGUGAAAUCUCCCGGCUUAACUGGGAGGGUGCGCCGAAAACUGGGUGACUGGAGUGUCGGAGAGGUAAGCGGAAUUCCUGGUGUAGCGGUGAAAUGCGUAGAGAUCAAGAGGAACACCUGAGGUGAAGACGGGUUGCUGGGCUGACACGUGACGCUGAGGCGCGAAAGCUAGGGUAGCAAACGGG
rnacentral:rRNA from 1 species